rnacentral:rRNA from 1 species
UACAGAGGGUGCGAGCGUUAAUCGGAAUUACUGGGCGUAAAGCGUGCGUAGACGGUAGCGUAAGUCAGAUGUGAAAGCCCCGGGCUCAACCUGGGAAUUGCAUUUGAGACUGCUCUGCUCGGGUGCGGAAGAGGGAAGCGGAAUUUCCGGUGUAGCGGUGGAAUGCGUAGAUAUCGGAAGGAACACCAGUGGCGAAGGCGGCUCUCUGGACCGAUACUGACGCUGAGACGCGACGGCGUGGGGAGCAAACCGG